rnacentral:rRNA from 1 species
CCUACGGGGGGCUGCAGUGGGGAAUAUUGGACAAUGGGGGGAACCCUGAUCCAGCCAUGCCGCGUGUGUGAAGAAGGCCCUCGGGUUGUAAAGCACUUUCAGUGAGGAAGAACGCCUGGUGGUUAAUACCCAUCAGGAAAGACAUCACUCACAGAAGAAGCACCGGCUAACUCCGUGCCAGCAGCCGCGGUAAUACGGAGGGUGCGAGCGUUAAUCGGAAUUACUGGGCGUAAAGCGCGCGUAGGUGGCUUGAUAAGCCGGUUGUGAAAGCCCCGGGCUCAACCUGGGAACGGCAUCCGGAACUGUCAAGCUAGAGUGCAGGAGAGGAAGGUAGAAUUCCCGGUGUAGCGGUGAAAUGCGUAGAGAUCGGGAGGAAUACCAGGGGCGAAGGCGGCCUUCUGGACUGACACUGACACUGAGGUGCGAAAGCGUGGGUAGCAAACAGGAUUAGAUACCCUAGUAGUCC